GUUAAUUUUAUUGGUUAAAACGACCAUAAUUUUAAUUGGUUCUCUCAGAUGCAUCCAGGUGACCAAUUAUUUUUGGUCAUUUUGACCAAUUAGGCCCGUUUUGUUCGUCGAAUUUUGGUCGCGUCGAAUGCAAUUCAAACAAUAGAUAAUUGAAUUGCACAAAUUGAAUUGCAUUCGACGCGACCAAAAUUCGACGUAUAUAAAACUGGCCUUAGUUUUCACAACCUACACUGCAUUAAAAUCAUGAAUAUUUGCGAGUCUACGUCAUUGAGCAAAAAAUAUAACAUUGAGUAUAAAUACAAUAUAAAUCAUAAGUAUUCUCUUGUUCU